GACGAACGCUGGCGGCGUGCUUAACACAUGCAAGUCGAACGGAAAGGCCCCGCUUUUGUGGGGUGCUCGAGUGGCGAACGGAUGAGUAACACGUGAGUAACCUGCCCUUGACUUUGGGAUAACUUCAGGAAACUGGGGCUAAUACCGGAUAGGAGCUCCUGCUGCAUGGUGGGGGUUGGAAAGUUUCGGCGGUUGGGGAUGGACUCGCGGCUUAUCAGCUUGUUGGUGGGGUAGUGGCUUACCAAGGCUUUGACGGGUAGCCGGCCUGAGAGGGUGACCGGCCACAUUGGGACUGAGAUACGGCCCAGACUCCUACGGGAGGCAGCAGUGGGGAAUAUUGCACAAUGGGCGGAAGCCUGAUGCAGCAACGCCGCGUGCGGGAUGACGGCCUUCGGGUUGUAAACCGCUUUCGCCUGUGACGAAGCGUGAGUGACGGUAAUGGGUAAAGAAGCACCGGCUAACUACGUG
rnacentral:rRNA from 1 species